rnacentral:snRNA from 1 species
GUGCCUGGUUCAGCAGCACAUAUACUAAAACCGAAAUGAUACAGAGAUUAGCACGGCCCCAUGCAAGGAUGACAUGCAAAUCCAAGUACAUAUUUCACUUGUAU